GACCCAGUGGUGAAAUGAAUCACACCUGCAUUCAGUAUAACAUGCUUCCAGAGGUUAGCAGGAGAUCCCGGUUCGAGUCCGGGCUGGGUCA